GACGAACGCUGGCGGCGUGCUUAACACAUGCAAGUCGAGCGAUGAAACACCUUCGGGUGCGGAUUAGCGGCGAACGGGUGAGGAACACGUGAGGAAUCUGCCUUCCACUCUGGGAUAACUCCGGGAAACCGGGGCUAAUACCGGAUACUUUCAUCUGGCGGCAUCGCCGGUUGAAGAAAGCUUUUCGGUGGAAGAUGACCACGCGGCCUAUCAGCUUGUUGGUGAGGUAAAGGCUCACCAAGGCGACGACGGGUAACCGGACUGAGAGCGCGAGCGGCCACACUGGGAGUGAGACACGGCCCAGACUCCUACGGGAGGCAGCAGUGGGGAAUAGUGGGCAAUGAAGGGAGCUCUGACCCAGCGACGCAGCGUGAGGGAUGAAGGCCUUCGGGUUGUAAACCUCUUUCAGCAGGGAAUAAGCGAAAGUGAAGGUACCUGCAGAAGAAGCACCGGCUAACUAUGUGCCAGCCGCCGCCGUAA
rnacentral:rRNA from 1 species